GCUCCCGACAGAAAAGAAAACGGCAAUGGAAAGGAAACAAUACAGAACUAAAUUUCAAAAAUAUUUACCUACUUGGUAAAUCUUUUUGCUGAAAUUUCGUUUUACGUGUGGGUGAAUUGAAAAAUUUGUACCUUGCCUUAGUCUGUUUGUAUAAACAUAAACAGAUAUCAUCGUGUUUAUGGUUAAAGACGUUAUUUUAGAAUCAUGAAGAUUGGAUUUAAGAAUGGACGAGUUCAGCGAAGAACUUCUAAUUAAUAAAGUCCAAGCUCAUGCUAUUUAGUAUGAUAUUGGUCUGAAGGACGACAGAAACCAGCCAAAAAAAGAAAAAGCAUGGGCUGAGAUGGCAAAUAGUUUUUCGAGAGAGGAAGUUGAUGGACAGCAGUGUCUGUGAAAGAAAGAAAAAUGUGUGCUACGCCAAAGUGACGAAAUGACAAUUUAUUGCUUCAUGUAUUAGAGAGAGACAGAGAUGUUCGCCAGAAUCAUGGGAAGGCUCUCUGACCGGAGAAUCACCGAAUAAUAGUUUACCAUCAAUGAAAUGAUGUCAUUUUUGCCCACAAGAUCAUAGUUAAUGUUUUCGAUACCAAUGGCAAGGUAUGUGUUUGGAAAAACAGAAAUUUACAGUGUCAGAGAAUAUUCAGAGUUAAAGUAAUGGCAAGAAUCAAUGGCACUAUAAAGAAAGAAGACUAUAUCUAUAUUCUAAAAGAAAAUCUGCUUCAAUGUGGAGAUAAAUGGUCAUCAGAGAUAUUUUAAGGUUUUUCAAGACAAUGACCAAAUGCACAAAUCUUUCACUGUGUAAAAUUACCUGUUGUGCAACUGACGCAAAGUAAAUAAAACUCCUCCCACGGCUCAGACCACAACUAGUGGGAAAUCUGUGGUUUAAAUUGUAAAUAACAAUUAAAAAUUAAUGAAUCGAUUUUCAGGUUGAUGACACCAGACAAAUCAUUUCAAACAUAGCAAAAUGGUUUUUAGAGAGGUCAUACCAAGAAGGGAAUUGCUACAAAGUACUAGUAUGGUACUUAUUCUAAGAAAGUGUUUUUUAUUUGGGUAUUUGAGUGGUUGAAUUUAGUGCUACUCAUAAAACAAAUUUUUUUUGUUAACAUUCAAGAAGAGUCCUUUGUUAAGCAUUAUGCAUAGAAAGAUAUACAGUAUUUUAUUUUAAGUAUAAUGUUUUGUUUGUAACUGGCACAAUUUAUUAAACCAUAUAAACUAUUCACGUAUUUAUUUAUUUCUGACAUGCCCAAUAACCAUUUAGAAAAACUUUUAUAGUAGGCCCAAC